GACGAACGCUGGCGGCGUGCUUAACACAUGCAAGUCGAACGGAAAGUCCCUGCUUUUGUGGGGUGCUCGAGUGGCGAACGGGUGAGUAACACGUGAGUAACCUGCCCUUGACUUUGGGAGAACUUCAGGAAACUGGGGCUAAUACCGGAUAGGAUCUCCUGCUGCGUGGUGGGGGUUGGAAAGUUUCGGCUGUUGGGGAUGGACUCGCGGCUUAUAAGCUUGUUGGUUGGGUAGUGGCUUACCAAGGCUUGGACGGGUAGCCGGCCUGAGAGGGUGACCGGACAAACUGGGCUUGAGCUAAGGCACAGACCACAACGGGACGCAGGGGUGGAGAAUAUUGUACAAGGCGAGGAAGGCAGACGUGGCAAAGCAGCGCGCGGGAUGAGGGGAUUCGGGUUGUAAACUGAUUCCGUCUGGGACGAGGCGAGAGUGACGGUAAUGGGUAAAGAAGCCCCGGCUAACUACGUG
rnacentral:rRNA from 1 species